UGGGAAUGAUUUUUUGUGUAGCUGAGUCUAACUCUUGGCAGGUACUAGAUCUCAGGGAUCCCAUAGUGCACAUGGUUUUUAUUGGGUGAUUCGGGACUGGCUACAGGAAAUUAGUGGGCAAGAUAAGAACUAAACCAAUUGAGGCUGAAUUAGAUGAGAGUGAUAGAGCUUUAUAUAUUUAUUGUAAAGUUGUAAAAUUUUGGAGUUAUUUUUGUAAGAGAAGUUUAUUUUAAACCCAUGUUUCG
rnacentral:lncRNA from 1 species